GGAGUAAAGCAGUGAUCUUAGAGGAGAGACACAAACUAAAGCAUCGAUCAUAAACCACUACCAACGUCCUGAUCGAUAUCUGCAUCGAUCUGCCCACCCUUGUCUCCUGGAUCGUAGCUGAGAUCAGCGUGAACCACGUGGGUCUCUGCUCCCUGAUCUGUUUCCUGUGUUUGGAAAGAGUUCCAGCUUCAUCACGGAGUUUCUCUCGGUUUGUGGGCUCAUCUAAAGGACCAACAUGGAGCGAGAAGUCAGCGCUCUCAGGAGGCCGACAAACCUCACAGAAGAAAGGGAGAGAAAAAAUACAGCUGUGAUGAGUGUGGGAAGGGGUUUACCCGUCCUAGAGGCCUAAAAACACACCAAUCCAUCCACAGUGGAGUUAAAUCUUACAGCUGUGAGUUGUGUGAAAAAUCUUAUACCCAGGCUGGACACUUAAAAACACACCAAAUCAUCCACAGUGGUGUUAAAGCGUACAGCUGUGAUGAGUGUGGGAAAGAUUUUUCUCGAAAGGGUUCACUAAAAACACAUCAGCUUAGACACAUUGGGGAGAGACCAUUCAGCUGUGACUUGUGUGGAAAAUCUUUUAUCCUUGCUGAGUAUUUGACAAAACAUCGACGCAUCCACACUGGGGAGAGACCAUACAACUGUGACUUGUGUGGAAAGACUUUUACCCAGGCUGGAAACCUAAAAAGACACCAGUUAAUCCACAGUGGAGUUAAACCGUACACCUGUGAUCAGUGUGGUAAAGAUUUUCCUUACAGUAGCUAUUUACGGCUUCAUCAAGUUACCCACUCUGGAAUUAAGGCGUACGGUUGUGGAAUUUGUGGAAGACACUUCAGCGGCAAACAGAGCCGAAAUAAACACCUACGCAUUCACACCAAAAAUGACGUGUGCUACUGUGAUCAGUGUGGCAAACUGUUUAUGACAUACAACAGCUUAAAACAACACAUGUUUACACACGCUGAGGAGAAACUUUAUAAAUGUGACCUGUGUGAUAAGGCUUUUAAAUCUCCACGAUCCCUCAGAGUCCACCAACAGCUCCACACCAGAAAGAAACUCUACAAGUGCAGUUACUGUGAGAAGCAGAGCGACACAGAUGGAUCCAGUUCUCAACCCUGUGAGCACUGUGAUGGUGGGAAAGAGUUUCUUUGUGACCUUUGUGGAAAAACUUUCAGUAAUCGUGGGAGCCUAAGAAAACAUCAACUUAGACACACUGGAGGCAAAAUGAACUACUGCAACGAAUGUGGGAGAGGCUUCAGUACUGCAGGUGACCUAAACCUGCAUAAACGAGUCCACACAAGAGAGAAACCUUACAAGUGCAGACACUGUGAAAAAAGCUUCUCACAAUCAGCUCAUUGUAAAACACAUGAACGUACACACAUUAAAGGGAACUUCAGCUGUGACCAGUGUGACAAGACCUUCAGAAAUCUCAGUUCAUACACCACACACAAGCGAUCCCACGCUGCAAAUAAACAGUUUCACUGUUACCAAUGUGCAAAAACAUUCACUUCAUUAUCUGCUCUGUGCAAACAUCAGCGUGAUCAUGAAAGCACUCCCAUCUCUGGAUCACAAUGAAUCUGAAGAGACAGAAAGUUCCUCUUCUGGUUUCAGGGUCAGACUUAAAAACCUUGAGAUCAGG